CAGCCGCCGCGGUAAUACCGGCGGCCCGAGUGGCGGCCACUAUUAUUGGGCCUAAAGCGUCCGUAGCCGGGCUGGUAAGUCCCCCGGGAAAUCUGGCGGCUUAACCGUCAGAAUUCCGGGGGAUACUGCCAGCCUAGGGACCGGGAGAGGCCGGGGGGCUUCCCGGAGUAGGGGUGAAAUCCUAUAAUCCCGGGAGGACCACCUGUGGCGAAGGCGCUCGGCUGGAACGCGUCCGACGGUGAGGGACGAAGGCCAGGGGAGCAAACCGGAUUAGAUACCCGGGUAGUCCUGGCUGUAAACGAUGCGGACUUUGUGUCGGACAAGCUAUGAGCUUGUCCGGUGCCGGAGGGAAACCGUUAAGUCCGCCGCCUGGGGAGUACGGCCGCAAGGCUGAAACUUAAAGGAAUUGGCGGG
rnacentral:rRNA from 1 species